UAAAGCUCUGACCUUACGGAACGAGCGCAUUUAUUAGAACAAAACCAAUCGGGUUUCGGCCCGUUCGUUGGUGACUCUGAAUAACUCUGCCGAUCGCACGGUCUCGCACCGGCGACGUAUCUUUCAAGUGUCUGCCUUAUCAACUUUCGAUGGUAGUUUAUGUGCCUACCAUGGUUGUAACGGGUAACGGAGAAUAAGGGUUCGACUCCGGAGAGGGAGCCUGAGAAACGGCUACCACAUCCAAGGAGGGCAGCAGGCGCGCAAAUUACCCACUCUCGGCACGAGGAGGUAGUGACGAAAAAUAACGAGACGGAUCUCUUUGAGGCCCGUUAUCGGAAUGAGAACAAUUCAAAUCCUUUAACGAGGAUCUAGCGGAGGGCAAGUCUGGUGCCAGCAGCCGCGGUAAUUCCAGCUCCGCAGGUGUAUAUCUAUGCUGCUGCGGUUAAAAAGCUCGUAGUUGGAUCUGCGUGCUCGGAACUGGUUGGCUCACUGAGUUCAAACUGGUCUCCGGCGCUUUAUUGGCUGGUUUUCCCUUGAUGCUCUUAACCGGGUGUCUUGGGUGGCUAGCACGUUUACUUUGAAAAAAUUAGAGUGCUCAAUACAGGCGUAAAGCCUUGAAUAGUGGUGCAUGGAAUAAUAGAAUAGGACCUCGGCUCUAUUUUGUUGGUUUUCGGAACGCGAGUAAUGAUUAAGAGGGACAGACGGGGGCAUUCGUAUUGCGACGUUAGAGGUGAAAUUCUUGGAUCGUCGCAAGACGGACGACUGCGAAAGCAUUUGCCAAGAAUGUUUUCAUUAAUCAAGAACGAAAGUUAGAGGUUCGAAGGCGAUCAGAUACCGCCCUAGUUCUAACCGUAAACGAUGCCAACUAGCGAUUCGCAGGCGUUAAACAACGACCUUGCGGGCAGCUUCCCGGAAACGAAAGUGUUCGGGUUCCGGGGGAAGUAUGGUUGCAAAGCUGAAACUUAAAGGAAUUGACGGAAGGGCACCACCAGGAGUGGAGCCUGCGGCUUAAUUUGACCCAACACGGGAAAACUCACCCGGCCCGGACACCGUAAGGAUUGACAGAUUGAGAGCUCUUUCUUGAUUCGGUGGGUGGUGGUGCAUGGCCGUUCUUAGUUGGUGGAGCGAUUUGUCUGGUUUAUUCCGAUAACGAACGAGACUCUGGCCUACUAAAUAGUGGGCGGAUUC
rnacentral:rRNA from 1 species